UGGGGAAUUUUGGACAAUGGGCGCAAGCCUGAUCCAGCAAUGCCGCGUGAGUGAAGAAGGCCUUCGGGUUGUAAAGCUCUUUUGUCAGGGAAGAAACGGCUGAGGUUAAUACCUUUGGCUAAUGACGGUACCUGAAGAAUAAGCACCGGCUAACUACGUGCCAGCAGCCGCGGUAAUACGUAGGGUGCAAGCGUUAAUCGGAAUUACUGGGCGUAAAGCGUGCGCAGGCGGUUUUGUAAGUUUGUCGUGAAAGCCCCGGGCUCAACCUGGGAAUUGCGAUGAAGACUGCAAGGCUUGAAUCUGGCAGAGGGGGGUAGAAUUCCACGUGUAGCAGUGAAAUGCGUAGAGAUGUGGAGGAACACCGAUGGCGAAGGCAGCCCCCUGGGUCAAGAUUGACGCUCAUGCACGAAAGCGUGGGGAGCAAACAGG
rnacentral:rRNA from 1 species